rnacentral:rRNA from 1 species
AUUGAACGCUGGCGGCAUGCUUUACACAUGCAAGUCGAGCGGCAGCGCGGGGGCAACCCUGGCGGCGAGCGGCGAACGGGUGAGUAAUGCAUCGGAACGUACCCUGGAGUGGGGGAUAACGCCGCGAAAGCGGCGCUAAUACCGCAUAUGCUCUGAGGAGGAAAGUGGGGGGACCGCAAGGCCUCACGCUCUGGGAGCGGCCGAUGUCCGAUUAGCUAGUUGGUGAGGUAAAGGCUUACCAAGGCGACGAUCGGUAGCUGGUCUGAGAGGAUGAUCAGCCACACUGGGACUGAGACACGGCCCAGACUCCUACGGGAGGCAGCAGUGGGGAAUUUUGGACAAUGGGGGCAACCCUGAUCCAGCCAUGCCGCGUGAGUGAAGAAGGCCU